AUCUGAUAUACUUUGAUUUAUCCUUGCAUGGAAAUGGGAUCAUCUUCAACUUUUCCCUUUCUUUUUUAUUUUUAUUUUCCUCGAGGCAAUCCAAAACAUAUUUUGACAUGAAAUGAAUAUUACAAGGAAAAAUAUACAGGGUGGUUGGUAACUGGUGGUACAAGCGGAGAGGGGGUGAUUCUACGCGAAAAAAGAAGUCGAAAAUGUACAAUAAACAUUUUUCGUUUGAGGCUUUGUUUUCGAGAAAAUCGACUUUGAAUUUUCGCUCGGUACGCCUGCGGUACGUUAUAACGUAUCUCACUGUAGAUCGUUGUCUCGAUGGAAAAAUGAAAAAAAAAAAAAAAAAAAAAAAAAUUUUAUUCU